ensembl:lncRNA LINC02102 long intergenic non-protein coding RNA 2102
ACAACAUGUUUCGGAGGUAAAAUCUUUGGGGGCUCAGUAAUUGAUUCAACGUGGAAGAAGGAGAGAGGAAAGUUCAGAGAGCUUCCAGGUUUCCACCAGGGAGGUCGGAACAGGUUGCCUUAGAUGGUGACCGCAGGAGCCACUGCCUGAGCAAGGAAGAUGGUGCAUUCAUUUUAAAAUCGCUGUGUAGCUUAACAUUCACUGCCCGUAUUAACAUGUGUCCUGCAUUCCAUUUAUUGGAGAAAUGUUUCUUUUUCUUUAUUUUUUAAAUGAAUAUAAUUUACAAUGUAAAAGGUCAAAUAAAAUGAAAGUGAAACAGAAAAAUCCUCACUUUUCAAUAUUCCUUUCUCAUCUAAUGAAGACCCCUUCCCUUCUCUAUUUCUCCCGGCUCCCUGCCUUAGGCCUAAAGCAACAACCAGAAGCCUUCCUGGGUGUUUACAUUACAGCACACCAGACUGCAGGCACCGCCACCCCAGACUCUGCCUGCAGCUAAAGUCACCAAGUUUGCCGUGCCCCAUAACUGAGGUCAUUGGCAGCCCAGCACCAAGCCUCACUGGCAUCAAGGGCAGCGGGUUAGUAAGCAUGGCUCCACACGGGUAAGCAGUUCUAGGAAAUGGGAAGAAACCCAGACCAUCCAUCUCAGGGUAAGUUUGCUGGAUUUUCUCUCUCUUUUAAGAGUCUUUCAACAGGGCAUACAGCCCAUUCUCAAAUUUAGAUUUCUGUUUUUGUUAAGAACAGGGACUGUGGAACGAAUUUGCCUGACUUUGCCAUCAUUCUGCCAUUUCCUAGCUAUGUGGCCUCAGGCAAACUGAUUAAACUUACUGGCCUCAGAAUGGGGAAAAUUUCUGUAACUCAUGCCUGGAAUUACGUGAAGAUGAAAAGCAGGCAUGUCCAUGAGAUGCUUACAAGAGGGACCAGCGCCGUGUACCUAUUCUGUGCAUCCUACCCGUCCACUGUUCCUUCUCCGUGUUUCUUGAAGAAGCUGGAGUUUUCUUUCAGUCUUCUGCUUCUCCUGUUGCUUCCUCUAACUGAAGGAAGAAUCAGUCCAUGGCUUCUGCUCCAUGCUUUCUGCUCUUGGUUCAGGCUCCAACUUUCCCAUUAAUGGAAGAGAAUGGCUCUCCUGCUCCCAGCUGUAAUGAACUAAUUAAUUUUUCUAUCUCUCUAAUCAUUCUCUAUUCCCUGCCAAACCCUCUGGGUGUCUGUUUUGUUCUAUUGUUCAAGCCUGGACUUUGAGGGUAGGCUGGGGGCAUUGCUAGUCCCCACAAUUGCUAAUCCAGGCACUUGAGUCAUUAUCUUCUAUACAUCACACUUAACAACCAGAGGGAAGUGCAACCUCGUGGGCCUCGGAAAGGAAACCACCCACAGACUUGUGCGCCUUCUUCGCAGGCCAGGCUCUCCUUCCCCCAUGGUAAGAAGGUGAAGACUUGGAGAUUGGUGAGUCAGGCAAUCAAGGUCAAAUUGACAUACUCUAGAAGAUUACAUGCCGUGUGGAACAGUACUGGGCAGUGGACCCACUGGGACAGGGGCUCAGGAGGCUAUGGCAGUCCCGCAGGAGAUUCUGGAGUAACAGACAUCCCCAGGACCUCAGCGUUUCAUAGGAACGACAUGGCACACAUUGGUGGUGGCUGUCCUCCCAGGCAGUACCCCACAUCUUGUCUUCCGUGUUUGGGCACCCAGGCUGGAGUAGCAACCCAUCUCAGUCAAUGGCAAAGGAAGGAAUGGGAGGUUCUAAUACCAUCUCACUCAUCCUUGGACCAAGGACACCUCUCCCAUGCACUAUGCCCCAUGCCUCUCUCUCACUAUGGCCCAGUCCACGCAUGGAGGUCCCAGUUGGUGCUCAGGUUCGUAGCGCCUACACGAAUAAAUGCAGUGCUGUUUAC